UACAGAGGUCUCGAGCGUUAGGCGGAAUCACUGGGCUUAAAGCGUGUGUAGGUGGAUCGUUAAGUACCUUGUGAAAUCCCACGGCUUAACCGUGGAACUGCUUGGUAUACUGGCGGUCUUGAGCCAGCUAGGGGCUACCGGAACAAAUGGUGGAGCGGUGAAAUGCGUAGAUAUCAUUUGGAACGCCAAUGGUGAAAACAGGUAGCUGGGGCUGUGCUGACGCUGGGACACGAAAGCCAGGGGAGCAAACGGG
rnacentral:rRNA from 1 species